rnacentral:tRNA from 5 species
GGGCCCAUAGCUCAGUUGGUUAGAGCACAGCCCUGAUAAGACUGGGGUCAGUGGUUCGAAUCCACUUGGGCCCACCA